GGCGAACGGGUGAGUAAUGCAUCGGAACGUGCCCAGUCGUGGGGGAUAACGCAGCGAAAGCUGCGCUAAUACCGCAUACGAUCUAAGGAUGAAAGCGGGGGACCGUAAGGCCUCGCGCGAUUGGAGCGGCCGAUGUCAGAUUAGGUAGUUGGUGGGGUAAAGGCUCACCAAGCCGACGAUCUGUAGCUGGUCUGAGAGGACGACCAGCCACACUGGAACUGAGACACGGUCCAGACUCCUACGGGAGGCAGCAGUGGGGAAUUUUGGACAAUGGGCGCAAGCCUGAUCCAGCAAUGCCGCGUGCAGGAAGAAGGCCUUCGGGUUGUAAACUGCUUUUGUACGGAACGAAACGGUCUGGAUUAAUACCCUGGGCUAAUGACGGUACCGUAAGAAUAAGCACCGGCUAACUACGUGCCAGCAGCCGCGGUAAUACGUAGGGUGCAAGCGUUAAUCGGAAUUACUGGGCGUAAAGCGUGCGCAGGCGGUGAUGUAAGACAGUCGUGAAAUCCCCGGGCUCAACCUGGGAAUUGCGAUUGUGACUGCAUCGCUGGAGUGCGGCAGAGGGGGAUGGAAUUCCGCGUGUAGCAGUGAAAUGCGUAGAUAUGCGGAGGAACACCGAUGGCGAAGGCAAUCCCCUGGGCCUGCACUGACGCUCAUGCACGAAAGCGUGGGGAGCAAACAGGAUUAGAUACCCUGGUAGUCCACGCCGUAAACGAUGAUAACUAGCUGUUCGGGGUCUACGAUCCUGAGUGGCGCAGCUAACGCAUUAAGUUAUCCGCCUGGGGAGUACGGUCGCAAGAUUAAAACUCAAAGGAAUUGACGGGGGCCUGCACAAG
rnacentral:rRNA from 1 species